rnacentral:rRNA from 1 species
GACGAACGCUGGCGGCGCGCCUAACACAUGCAAGUCGAACGGUGAAGAGGAGCUUGCUCCUCGGAACAGUGGCGGACGGGUGAGUAACACGUGAGCAACCUGGCUCUAUGAGGGGGACAACAGUUGGAAACGACUGCUAAUACCGCAUGACGUAUCGGGAUGGCAUCUUCCUGAUACCAAAGAUUUUAUCGCUUAGAGAUGGGCUCGCGUCUGAUUAGAUAGUUGGCGGGGUAACGGCCCACCAAGUCGACGAUCAGUAGCCGGACUGAGAGGUUGAACGGCCACAUUGGGACUGAGACACGGCCCAGACUCCUACGGGAGGCAGCAGUGGGGGAUAUUGGACAAUGGGGGCAACCCUGAUCCAGCGACGCCGCGUGAGGGAAGAAGGUUUUCGGAUUGUAAACCUCUGUUGACGGAGAAAAAAAUGAUGGUAUCCGUUUAGAAAGCCACGGCUAACUACGUG